CACGUAGGGGGCGAGCGUUGUCCGGAUUUAUUGGGCGUAAAGGGCUCGUAGGCGGCUCAGUAAGUCGGGUGUGAAACCUCCAGGCUCAACCUGGAGACGCCACCUGAUACUGCUGUGGCUAGAGUCCGGUAGGGGAGCAUGGAAUUCCUGGUGUAGCGGUGAAAUGCGCAGAUAUCAGGAGGAACACCAGUGGCGAAGGCGGUGCUCUGGGCCGGAACUGACGCUGAGGCACGAAGGUCAGGGGAGCAAACGGG
rnacentral:rRNA from 1 species